GCAGUCGACGAACUCUGGUAUUGAUUGGUGCUUGCAUCAUGAUUUACAUUUGAGUGAGUGGCGAACUGGUGAGUAACACGUGGGAAACCUGCCCAGAAGCGGGGGAUAACACCUGGAAACAGAUGCUAAUACCGCAUAACAACUUGGACCGCAUGGUCCGAGUUUGAAAGAUGGCUUCGGCUAUCACUUUUGGAUGGUCCCGCGGCGUAUUAGCUAGAUGGUGGGGUAACGGCUCACCAUGGCAAUGAUACGUAGCCGACCUGAGAGGGUAAUCGGCCACAUUGGGACUGAGACACGGCCCAAACUCCUACGGGAGGCAGCAGUAGGGAAUCUUCCACAAUGGACGAAAGUCUGAUGGAGCAACGCCGCGUGAGUGAAGAAGGGUUUCGGCUCGUAAAACUCUGUUGUUAAAGAAGAACAUAUCUGAGAGUAACUGUUCAGGUAUUGACGGUAUUUAACCAGAAAGCCACGGCUAACUACGUGCCAGCAGCCGCGGUAAUACGUAGGUGGCAAGCGUUGUCCGGAUUUAUUGGCGUAAAGCGAGCGCAGGCGGUUUUUUAAGNCUGAUGUGAAAGCCUUCGGCUCAACCGAAGAAGUGCAUCGGAAACUGGGAAACUUGAGUGCAGAAGAGGACAGUGGAACUCCAUGUGUAGCGGUGAAAUGCGUAGAUAUAUGGAAGAACACCAGUGGCGAAGGCGGCUGUCUGGUCUGUAACUGACGCUGAGGCUCGAAAGUAUGGGUAGCAAACAGGAUUAGAUACCCUGGUAGUCCAUACCGUAAACGAUGAAUGCUAAGUGUUGGAGGGUUUCCGCCCUUCAGUGCUGCAGCUAACGCAUUAAGCAUUCCGCCUGGGGAGUACGGCCGCAAGGCUGAAACUCAAAGGAAUUGACGGGGGCCCGCACAAGCGGUGGAGCAUGUGGUUUAAUUCGAAGCUACGCGAAGAACCUUACCAGGUCUUGACAUACUAUGCAAAUCUAAGAGAUUAGACGUUCCCUUCGGGGACAUGGAUACAGGUGGUGCAUGGUUGUCGUCAGCUCGUGUCGUGAGAUGUUGGGUUAAGUCCCGCAACGAGCGCAACCCUUAUUAUCAGUUGCCAGCAUUAAGUUGGGCACUCUGGUGAGACUGCCGGUGACAAACCGGAGGAAGGUGGGGAUGACGUCAAAUCAUCAUGCCCCUUAUGACCUGGGCUACACACGUGCUACAAUGGAUGGUACAACGAGUUGCGAACUCGCGAGAGUAAGCUAAUCUCUUAAAGCCAUUCUCAGUUCGGAUUGUAGGCUGCAACUCGCCUACAUGAAGUCGGAAUCGCUAGUAAUCGCGGAUCAGCAUGCCGCGGUGAAUACGUUCCCGGGCCUUGUACACACCGCCCGUCACACCAUGAGAGUUUGUAACACCCAAAGUCGGUGGG
rnacentral:rRNA from 2 species